rnacentral:misc_RNA from 1 species
UAAGUAAUUAACAUCCUGUGUUUUUGUUUUUAAAUUGUUGAUGGUAUCAGUCAUUACUGGUUAUUGUUAUAGCUUUUUGUAAGGUUGUAAAUAGGCUUUGCAUUAGUGUUUAGUACUUUAUUAUCAAAUAUUUCUUAAAAUUUAAUUGAGGGUAAACAUUUUUUUAAAGGUUAUAGGUAUAUAUGCACUCCAGUGAUACAUAUGUAAACAGUAAAUGUCUUAGCGAUGAACCAUGUAUUACACCAUUUUCUUUACAAAACUCCAUUCAUAAUGCAUAUGAUGGUUGAAUACAACUUGUACCAGUAUUUUUCAUUUUUGUCCUCUAAUGAUUCCAUGUAAUGUAUUUGAUUUGUAUAUUGUAUAAAUAUAUAUACAUAUAUUGUAUCUUAUGUACAUGAACAUUGUGUGUUUGCCAGGUGUUUACUAAGAAUGCAUUAAAUAUGUACUUUUGCUUUAUAUGAGCUUAAAAAGCAAACAUUCCAUUGUGAUAGAUAGAUAUAUUUUGCAAUAAAUGUGAUGCAUUU